GCUUUAUACUUUGAACCCCCAGGACUCACAGACAUUCAGGUGGUUCAGCCAGAACAACCACAGGAAGCAGCGAGCAAAGCCCAGGUACCAGCAACCGGCACCGCCAGCCCAUCAAGAACCCAAGCCAUAGUGGCUUGGCCAAUGGCACAGUGAAUGACGAUCCCACUGCAGCCACCGAUCCCGAAGAACCCUCUGUUGUUGGUGUGACAUCCCUGCCUGCCGCAGCAACAAGUGUGACCCCAAACCCCACCGUAGCCUCUCUUCCUGCUCUGACCACACCAGCUGAAGGAGAGGUGCCCAGCACUUCAGGCACCCAGCAGCCCCCCACAGCUGUCCAGGCCCCUGAUGCCUUGCCUUCUGGAUGGGAGCAGCGAGAGCUGCCCAACGGGCGUGUCUAUUAUGUUGACCACAACACCAAGACCACCACCUGGGAGCGGCCUCUUCCUCCAGGGUAAGACCUCUCCACCAUG